rnacentral:rRNA from 1 species
UCGGCGAGCGGCGGACGGCUGAGUAACACGUAGGAAUUUGCCCCAAAGUGAGGAAUAACUGCCCGAAAGGGUAGCUAAUGCCGCAUAUGGUCUUCGGAUUAAAGCCUUCGGGCGCUUUGGGAGAAGCCUGCGUUGGAUUAGGUAGUUGGUAGGGUAAUGGCCUACCAAGCCGACGAUCCAUAGCUGGUCUGAGAGGAUGAUCAGCCAGACUGGAACUGAGACACGGUCCAG